rnacentral:ncRNA from 1 species
AAAAAAAUCCCAUAGGGCAGAUCCCUAUGGGUACUUAAUGCAAAGCAUUAAGUAUAAUGGAAAAUAAUGGGAGAGGAGAAACCGGAGGAAGAGCUUAUGGGGAAACGUAAGUCUUCUCCGCG